rnacentral:rRNA from 1 species
UACGUAGGGUGCAAGCGUUGUCCGGAAUUAUUGGGCGUAAAGAGCGUGUAGGCGGCUCGGUAAGUCCGCUGUGAAAGUCCAGGGCUCAACCCUGGAAUGCCGGUGGAAACUGUCGGGCUAGAGUCCGGAAGAGGCGAGUGGAAUUCCUGGUGUAGCGGUGAAAUGCGCAGAUAUCAGGAGGAACACCAAUGGCGAAGGCAGCUCGCUGGGACGGUACUGACGCUGAGACGCGAAAGCGUGGGGAGCAAACAGG